UACCGGCGGCUCGAGUGGUGGCCACUAUUACUGGGCUUAAAGCGUUCGUAGCUGGUUUGUUAAGUCUCUGGGGAAAUCUUCCGGCUUAACCGGAAGGCGUCUCAGGGAUACUGGCAGACUAGGGACCGGGAGAGGUGAGAGGUACUCCAGGGGUAGGAGUGAAAUCCUGUAAUCCUUGGGGGACCACCUGUGGCGAAGGCGUCUCACCAGAACGGCUCCGACAGUGAGGGACGAAAGCUGGGGGAGCAAA
rnacentral:rRNA from 1 species